UCAGAGUACUCUCGGCAGG
rnacentral:misc_RNA from 1 species